rnacentral:rRNA from 1 species
AACGAACGCUGGCGGCAGGCUUAACACAUGCAAGUCGAGCGCCCCGCAAGGGGAGCGGCAGACGGGUGAGUAACGCGUGGGAACCUACCCAUCUCUACGGAACAACUCCGGGAAACUGGAGCUAAUACCGUAUACGUCCUUCGGGAGAAAGAUUUAUCGGAGAUGGAUGAGCCCGCGUUGGAUUAGCUAGUUGGUGGGGUAAUGGCCUACCAAGGCGACGAUCCAUAGCUGGUCUGAGAGGAUGAUCAGCCACACUGGGACUGAGACACGGCCCAAACUCCUACGGGAGGCAGCAGUGGGGAAUAUUGGACAAUGGGCGCAAGCCUGAUCCAGCCAAGCCGCGUGAGUGAUGAAGGCCCUAGGGUUGUAAAGCUCUUUCACCGGUGAAGAUAAUGACGGUAACCGGAGAAGAAGCCCCGGCUAACUUCGUGCCAGCCGCCGCAGUAAGAC